CUCAGAGUUUCCCAGGCAUUUGCUCAUUUCAUCCUGACAGAAGCCCUGGGAAGCAGAAGCACAGGGAGGUGAGUUAACGGGGACUGUGACCUAUCCAAGGUGCUGAAUCCAGGAAACUGUCUUGCAGCUGGACCCAGAAAUUCCUCACGCUUCUACAGAAGGAGAGUCUCAGUCCCAAGCCCUGGAAAGCAAAGGCAGCAGCUGUUCAGUGGUGCAUAUUUGCUAACGGGAGCAGCAAGGAGAGGAACUGCAACGAGAGACCAGAACCUUCUUUAAAAGAAGAACAACUCAAUGAAAGAAGAAAACUCUGAGUUGGCGAUCUUGAAAGUAUCAACACAGCUUACAGAGUUACCCUAUUUAAUAGAGUAAGAGAAACAUUAUUUCUAUCCAAAAUGUAAAUGAAGAGGAUGGGGAGUGGCCUACUCACUGAAGUGUUGGCCCCACAGUACAAGGACCUGAGUUUGAGUCCUUGGAAUACAAUCAGUAGCCAGGCAUGGCAGUGUGUGCCUGUGAUCUCAGCUAUGUUGAGACGGAAGAGACAGGCUGAUCCCUGAAAGCGUGUGGGCCAGUGAGCUUGACCCAUGUGGCUAGGCUGCAGGCCCACAAAAGACCCUGUCUUUAAAAACUGCCUAAGGACCAACUCCCCAGGUUGUCUUCUGACUCCCCCACCUGUGUGCUCUGCACACACACCUGCACUCGAACACACAGGUGUGUGUAUAUGCAUACACAUCGCCACCUCAUGAUGCCACCACCACCACCACCACCACCACCAAAUUCCAAGCACAGGUUGAGUCAGUAAAGGAGAACUAGCCGUCAGCCUCACAGAUCUCCCGAUGGUCCUUCAGAUUCAGCUUGGCUGAGGGGACCCAACAUGCCUACUCCAUUGGAGGAAAUUGAGGAGAACUUCCUGACAAGGAGGGCUGCAGGCAGGUUGUGCAGCAGAGACUUGCAAGCCUUCAGACCCUGGCCCUCCUGUGUGGCCUUCACGGGCUAGGCCAGAGGCUGGGUUGAAAGUCGCUCUGAUCCCACUGAAUGUGAUCCCAGGAGUCUGUUCUCAUCCCAGCUCUAUGCUAGUGGUGAUAACUACUGCAAGCUCCCACAGACGAGAGAAUUCCCAGCCCGGUCUCACUGCACUUUUCAUGGGCUGACCUGGGGUGACGCACCAUAGCUAGGAGGUCCAUCCAGCCACUUUUGGGAGCCCACUGUCUGCCCAGCAAAUAUUCCUCUCUGAGUCAGGCCACCGUCUCCUG